UCAACCACCCGGCGGAAUCCGACCGGUCCGAUGGAGGAUUCUUGAAGCGGAUCGGGUUUAUUCGGUUUGCGGGUACUGGCGGAAGGAAGAAAAGGGUUGAGGCGGGUGUACACGGUCGGAUUCGGAGAUUGGUUUUGGGCCCGUCGGAAACCGAAUCCGACCGAAGAUAAUAGUUGGUAAUGGCUAGGCCCAACGUAUUCCAAGCCCAAUCUGAUCUUGAUGCUUCCAAUUUUGCAAACCUAAUCCAUUCCUUAGCCCAAAUCUGGAGUUCUAUAUAUUGAUUCUUCAUGUUACAAACCCUAAUCCAUUCUUUCCAGCGGCCGCCGAUCCUUCCUUCUUUAAGUUAUGCGCUGCUGUGCUAUGAAACACUGUCUCCCAUCACCAUCUCCGCUGCCGCCUUUGCAAUCAACUCAGAUUAGAUAAUGAUUAAGAUCUUGAUUCAAAAUUGCAUAAGAACGGAUUAAAGUAAAAAAGGUUUUGGUGGAAAUGGUGCUACCAUAAUCUUCUAAAUCAAUUUUUAGGUGAAAAUCACAUCUGAGCCUGGAGGAGUGACAAUUUAACAUCUGCGCCGGAGUUGCAUCAGUUGUUACUUGGGUUGUUACUGCUCUAGCAAUGGGAAUUGUUGCAGGUUGAAGGCACAAGUGUUUAGGAGAAUGUCAAAUACAAAGUUCUCAUAAUUUUAGGAUUUGUUUAAAUGUAAUUUGAACUUUAAUUUUUAUUGGUGAUGUAAAUUAAUUGAGUCCUCUGUGUGUUUGUGUUGAGAGAGUCUAUAAUUAAUUAUUUAAAUUUUGGAAGGAUUUAGGUAACAUGCUUUAAAUGAGAA